rnacentral:rRNA from 1 species
GACGAACGCUGGCGGCGUGCUUAACACAUGCAAGUCGAACGGAAAGGCCCUGCUUGCUGGGUAUUCGAGUGGCGAACGGGCGAGUAACACGUGGGUGAUCUGCCCUGCACUUCGGGAUAAGCCUGGGAAACUGGGUCUAAUACCGGAUAGGAGCCAUUUUUAGUGUGAUGGUUGGAAAGUUUUUUCGGUGUAGGAUGAGCUCGCGGCCUAUUAGCUUGUUGGUGGGGUAAUGGCCUACCAAGGCGGCGACGGGUAGCCGGCCUGAGAGGGUGGACGGCCACAUUGGGACUGAGAUACGGCCCAGACUCCUACGGGAGGCAGCAGUGGGGAAUAUUGCACAAUGGGCGCAAGCCUGAUGCAGCGACGCCGCGUGGGGGAUGACGGCCUUCGGGUUGUAAACACCUUUCGCUAGGGACGAAGCUUUUUGUGACGGUACCUAGAUAAGAAGCACCGGCUAACUACGUG